rnacentral:rRNA from 1 species
GAUGAACGCUGGCGGCGUGCCUAAUACAUGCAAGUCGAGCGAACAGAUGAGGAGCUUGCUCCUCUGACGUUAGCGGCGGACGGGUGAGUAACACGUGGAUAACCUACCUAUAAGACUGGGAUAACUUCGGGAAACCGGAGCUAAUACCGGAUAAUAUAUUGAACCGCAUGGUUCAAUAGUGAAAGACGGUUUUGCUGUCACUUAUAGAUGGAUCCGCGCCGCAUUAGCUAGUUGGUAAGGUAACGGCUUACCAAGGCAACGAUGCGUAGCCGACCUGAGAGGGUGAUCGGCCACACUGGAACUGAGACACGGGCCAGACUCCUACGGGAGGCAGCAGUAGGGAAUCUUCCGCAAUGGGCGAAAGCCUGACGGAGCAACGCCGCGUGAGUGAUGAAGGGCUUCGGAUCGUAAAACUCUGUUAUUAGGGAAGAACAAAUGUGUAAGUAACUAUGCACGUCUUGACGGUACCGAGUCAGAAAGCCACGGCGAACUACGG